rnacentral:rRNA from 1 species
CCAGGGCUACACACGUGCUACAAUGGCGCGUACAAAGGGCUGCAAGCUAGCGAUAGUGAGCGAAUCCCAGAAAGCGCGUCGUAGUCCGGAUUGGAGUCUGCAACUCGACUCCAUGAAGUCGGAAUCGCUAGUAAUCGCAAAUCAGAAUGUUGCGGUGAAUACGUUCCCGGGCCUUGUACACACCGCCCGUCACACCAUGGGAGUGGGUUGCACCAGAAGUAGAUAGCUUAACCUUCGGGAGGGCGUUUACCACGGUGUGAUUCAUGACUGGGGUGAAGUCGUAACAAGG